UUUAACUAUCUUGAGUAGUUUUGUGUCAUCUGCAAAUUUUGCCAGCUAUUUACCCCUUUCCAGAUCAUUUAUGAAUAUGCUGAACAGUACCGGUCCCAGUAGAGACCCCUGGGGUACACCACUAUUUACCUCUCUCCAUUCUGAAAACUGAUCACUUAUUCCUAUCCUUUAUUUCCUAUCUUUAAAGCAGUUACCAAUCCA